rnacentral:rRNA from 1 species
AACGAACGCUGGCGGCAUGCCUAACACAUGCAAGUCGAACGAGACCUUCGGGUCUAGUGGCGCACGUGUGCGUAACGCGGGGGAACCUGCCCUUAGGUUCGGAAUACCUCCCCGAAAGGGGUGCUAAUACCGGAUAAUGUCUUCGGACCAAAGAUUUAUCGCCAUUGGAUGGGCCCGCGUAGGAUUAGCUGGUUGGUAGGGUAAAAGCCUACCAAGGCGAGGAUCCAUAGCUGGUCUGAGAGGAAGAUCAGCCACACUUGAACUGAGACACGGCCCAGACUCCUACGCAAGGCAGCAGUGGGGAACACUAUGCAAGGGGGGAAAACCUGAUACAGCAAUGCCGCGUGAGUGAUGAAGGCCGUAGGGUUGUAAUGCUCUUUUACCCGGGAUGAUAAUGACAGUACCGGGAGAAUAAGCUCCGGCUAACUACGUG